CUCUCCGGGCCCGCCGGUCCUGCAGUUUCCGAGUUCUGCUGGAGGACGAGACCCGCUCAGAGCCGCCGGCACCCGCGGUCGCCGCGGUUCCCCACGGAGCGGCAGCCGGCCCGCCCCGCGCCGCCUCUCCGCGCUGCCGGGGGGAACUUAAUCGCGCCGGGGGUAAUCUUGCAAGAGCAGGCAGCUACCUUCUCGUUCCAAGGUCCUGGCUCUUACUUUGUUUCUCCACGCGGUUUGAGUAUCGCCGCCCCUACCGCCGCGUCCGGCCUCGGGAUAGAAGGGAAAGUGAGCGACACGGGGCUGCGCGCUCCCGAGCAUCGCAGCAGGGACACACAGACACAGACAGACAGACAGGCGCUGUCCCGGAACCGGAGUGUAGUCUCGGGCUCCACUAAAUACGUUUUUCGAAUCGUUGACCAGCCUCUGGACCACACAACACAGUAACAAAGGCUGUUCGUGUCGCGUCGAUCACAUCUUCAGAUCACCGUAUGUUGGAAUAAAGCACCCGAGACUCCAUUUUCUUCAUGCAGAAAGCCAAUUCUUUAUUCACCAAGCUCAUAUUUGUAGGGAAUAUCAGAAGGCACUGUGUUAAACCUAAUUGGUCAGCAAUGCAGUGAAACUCAGUUCAUUGGAUGGGACCAUGGCCAUGGGACAGACUCCAGGACAUUGCUCACUCAGUAAUUCACUUGCAAACCACGUUUGAAGUUCAGUCCAGAGCCUCUGAUUGGCUGUACAGGGCCAAACUUUGGGGCUCUGCAGACCAGAGCAAGAUGUCACAGGCUCCAAGUUCCAGGCUGCGGGUCCUUUAGUGAAAAUUGGCUUCACACAGUAUAUUUUCCAAGUGCAGAAUGUCUUCCAGUUUCUUUGUACAGAAAAUGGCAUCAAUAUAACACAUUGAAUUUAAUUCAUAAUAGCAAUUAAGACCCCGAGAGGGUGGAUCCACAAGGGAGGAUCCAAGCCACUGUGGAAGCUCUUCCAGGAGCAAAUGUGUGAGAGCCAUCUGUCGCCUCUCCACACACAGUGACAGUCACAGCAUGUCUCUGCAGCCUACUCAGAAAAUUCACACCAUGAUGAAGGGUUGUUGAAUAUAUUCUGCAAGUGUUGCCUGCCGAGGGCUGCUCUGCACUGAAGGGGAUGUGAGGCUCAGCCAUGAUGGUGCCCAGCAGCUCUGAGCAGGAGGGGCAGCUUGCUGAAGGAGAAUGUGGCUGUUGGGUUUGCAGAGCUCUGAGUACUCCCUGCAGAGAGCGUCCUGCCUCCACUGGAGCAGGGUUUCAACAAUCUGAUGGUCGAGAGCAAAAAUCAAAUUCCUAUUGAGAAACAUGGUGAACUGCUGUCAGAAAGGGGAAAACCUUGCUCCAGGUGACACUGAUGAAUACCCUGCACCCCUUUACCUGCAGUCAAAAGACAAUGAACUUUCCAUUCUUCUGCAUAAAAAUGGAGUGACAUGUGCACAUAUAAGAAGGCAAAAAAAUCACUACAGGCCUUAUAAAACCUGUCAGUGCUGCACAGGCUCCUUUCCCCAGGGAGAGUUGGAGGAAACAAGUAUGAGACAGUCACUCAUCAUUUUGCUUAAAAUAAGGCUGGGAGGCCCAGGGAUGCUCCAGCAAACCCCACAGCAAAGCUGCAGAACAAAGAACUGACUGAGCCAGCUCCUGACCCACAAAAUGCAGGAAUCAGAUCAGUUGAGGACAGGAGCUGCAGGGAUUCCAGGACUACCUUGGACCACCUCAUCCCUUCAGUUUUCAGGUCUUCUCUGGUAUGUGAGGAUGAGGUGAGACCUUAAUUCCCAUUUGGCCAGCUGAAUGUGCUUCAGACACACCUUUAGCCCUGCUUGCACUUGGCUGCUGUCCCAGGGGUGCACCCUGAGACGUGGGACCUGAGUGGCUUGUGAUCACGUGAAGGCAUCCAGCUCACCAAAGUGCUGACUGAGGCUGGUGUGUCCCUGGGGGCUCAGCUGGCAGGGGUGUCAGAAGGCCAAGAUGCACCUGAAACCACUGGGUACCUGCAUGGCAACCCCCCAUGCCACACACCCUGUCUUUGCUCUUUACUUGUCCCAACACCACACACAGCCCCAAUAUUUAUGUACAUAAUAUGACUGUGAUUUCAGCAAAAACAAUCUGCCCCCUCAGUCCAUUAAUAAUGUUGUUUCGCUGCCAAAACAUUUUCAUUUCCUUUUCUCCAGGCCUUCUUUGUCUUCCUUGUGUCUAUUUUUACUGCAUUUUGUGACAGUCAGUUUGCCAUUUAGGUGACUCUUUCUGCAGUGUG